GAAGCAGCUUGCUGCUUCGCUGACGAGUGGCGGACGGGUGAGUAAUGUCUGGGAAACUGCCUGAUGGAGGGGGAUAACUACUGGAAACGGUAGCUAAUACCGCAUAAUGUCGCAAGACCAAAGAGGGGGACCUUCGGGCCUCUUGCCAUCGGAUGUGCCCAGAUGGGAUUAGCUAGUAGGUGGGGUAACGGCUCACCUAGGCGACGAUCCCUAGCUGGUCUGAGAGGAUGACCAGCCACACUGGAACUGAGACACGGUCCAGACUCCUACGGGAGGCAGCAGUGGGGAAUAUUGCACAAUGGGCGCAAGCCUGAUGCAGCCAUGCCGCGUGUAUGAAGAAGGCCUUCGGGUUGUAAAGUACUUUCAGCGGGGAGGAAGGCGGUGAGGUUAAUAACCUCAUCGAUUGACGUUACCCGCAGAAGAUGCACCGGCUAACUCCGUGCCAGCAGCCGCGGUAAUACGGAGGGUGCAAGCGUUAAUCGGAAUUACUGGGCGUAAAGCGCACGCAGGCGGUCUGUCAAGUCGGAUGUGAAAUCCCCGGGCUCAACCUGGGAACUGCAUUCGAAACUGGCAGGCUAGAGUCUUGUAGAGGGGGGUAGAAUUCCAGGUGUAGCGGUGAAAUGCGUAGAGAUCUGGAG
rnacentral:rRNA from 1 species